rnacentral:rRNA from 1 species
UACGAAGGGGGCUAGCGUUGUUCGGAAUUACUGGGCGUAAAGCGUGCGCAGGCGGCUUCUCAAGUCAGGGGUGAAAGCCCAGAGCUCAACUCUGGAAUUGCCUUUGAGACUGAGUGGCUUGAGUACGAGAGAGGUGAGUGGAAUUCCCAGUGUAGAGGUGAAAUUCGUAGAUAUUGGGAAGAACACCGGUGGCGAAGGCGGCUCGCUGGCUCGUAACUGACGCUCAUGUACGACAGCGUGGGGAUCAAACAGG